AUGUAGUCUUGGGGUGGCUGGAUAGACUUCCCAAAGAAGGUGAUGCCGAAGCUGAGGUCGGAAAUUACGAAGAUCAGCUAUCAAACUUGGAAAUCAUGUCUUAGAGAUCAAGGAGCCAAGAGAUGAGACAAGCCUGGGUUCCUAGGUGAUAGGGUGUGGCUGUGUCCCCACCCAAAUCUCGUCUUGAAUUGUAGCUCCCAUAAUCCCCACAUGUUGUGGAGGGACCCUGUGGAAGGAUAAGUCAAUUGAGCUUCACUUCUCUAAUUGAAAUCACCGUGCUGAUGGAGUCUGUCUGUGGAAAUGAAAGGUGGCUACCAUAAUCUGUUGGGAGUUGAAUUAAUCCUCUGGGAGUGAGGCUGACCUAAUUACUCAGAAAUACUGGGCUUGCUUUCAUUCUGUGGAAUACAGCCAUGAGAAAGAGGCCAGCAUGCCAUUUCCUAAUCUUUUCUUGAAUUGCCUGAAACUCACCUAACAUGAAACUGAGAAGCCUUUUCAUUUGAAAGUGGUAUUUCUUAUGUUUUUUAUCUUUUUGCUUGAAAGUAUUCUUAAACUAAAGAAAGGAGAAACAGAAAAGGUGAAGAAGCCAAGAGGCUGGAGUUUCCUUUUGAAUGGAUAUUCAUCCAUGAAGCUGUUGAUUCUGUUUUUCUGUUCCUCCAGAUGUCUACACUUUUACCUCUGCUUGCCUGAUACAACCACCACCAGUCACCUCACAGAAUAACUCACUCCUUAAGAAUCUGAUCAGGAAUCAGCCUUCCCUGAUCACAAACACUGAGUUUAGAAGUCCCUCCACAGUGUCCCCCGUAACCCUGUGCUACCUCACUGCCUCAUAGUUUAGUGCCGUUUGUGUACAUGCCUAUCUUCGUCCAUGGAUCCAGAACAACUUGUAAAAAUGACUGUACUUAUCACCUUCAGUAUUCAAUGACUAAACUAUAAUUUUAACAUAUCUGGCAGAAUGAAUCACUUGGGGAUUUCUGCCAACACUACCAAUAUAUUACUCCUAAUUUGUAAUUAUUACUUAGCAUGGAUUAUAGUACCGGCUGUUGGAGAGCCAAUGUGGCAGACCCUAAGUGGAAUAAAAUGUCAGUAGCAGUCUAGGAGCAUAUAUUUAUUGGAAUAGAUCAUUCAUUCAUUUGUUCAUUAACUAAUUUGUUCAUUAAAUAAACAUUUAUUAAGCAC
ensembl:lncRNA CCDC26 CCDC26 long non-coding RNA